CCGGGAGGCUGGCGCGGACGGAGUCCUCGCCAACCCGGUCAGGUCCGGAAGGAAGCAGCCGUAACGAGUUUCGCUUCGGGUCGCUGCCAGUCUCCUUUUAC
rnacentral:SRP_RNA from 1 species